GAUGAAGAACGCAGCGAAAUGCGAUAAGUAAUGUGAAUUGCAGAAUUCAGUGAAUCAUCGAAUCUUUGAACGCACAUUGCGCCCCUUGGUAUUCCGAGGGGCAUGCCUGUUCGAGCGUCAUAUUAACCACUCCCGCUUGCGGGGUCUUGGGCUUCGCCUCCGGGCGGGCCUUAAAAUCAGUGGCGGUGCCGUCGGGCUCUACGCGUAGUAAAUUUUCUCGCGAUAGGGUCCCGGUGGAUGCUUGCCAACAACCCCAACUUCUUAAGGUUGACCUCGGAUCAGGUAGGGAUACCCGCUGAACUUAAGCAUAUCAAUAAGCGGAGGA
rnacentral:misc_RNA from 1 species